AGUGAGACUCUGUCUCAAAAAACAAACAAAUGACAACAAAAUAAUAAAUCUUGACCCCUGCAGCAUCAGAAAGACCAGCUUCUGACUUUAUUGGCAUCAUGUUGUGCUGGCCCAGGGACCACGCAGGUUCUUGGAUCAGGAAUGUAGUUCUGAUUGCUGACCUUAGAGAACAGAUUUAGAUGUAGAAAUUCUUUCAUCCCACACGGAUUCUCCAGUCGAAGUCCCUACCCUCUCCAAGCUAGCCCCAACUCCCAAGCCCCCUUAUCUGUAUGCAGCGCCCUACCUCUGACAGGUCAUAUGCCAAUCUCUUCCUUGCCCUAACUUGGGGGACCCAGAUGGAGAACGGAGGGUCUGAGUACUAAGAGGAAUGGUUUGCACUCAAGGCACCGGGAAUGGUGCUCAGUUUUUGACCUAGGGAGAGACAAGGAGAAAUGGUAUUCUGGGAAAAUAUUUUGGCAGUGGUUUCAAGAAAGAAAUAGGAGCCAUUGGAGAUUUCUGUAGCAAUUUAAGACAGAGGCCACUGGGCAUCUGAACCAGGGUGGCAGCCUUGAGAGGGGACAGCCGUGAGAGCUGCUUCCAAGAAAAGUGCAGCACAUGUGGAGAUGGCUGGGUGUGGGUGUUUGGAGAUGA
rnacentral:lncRNA from 1 species